rnacentral:rRNA from 1 species
CCUACGGGAGGCAGCAGUGAGGAAUAUUGGUCAAUGGUCGGGAGACUGAACCAGCCAAGCCGCGUGAGGGAUGAAGGUACAGAGUAUCGUCAACCUCUUUUGUCAGGGAACAAAGGCGGGGACGCGUCCCCGGAUGAGUGUACCUGAAGAAAAAGCAUCGGCCAACUCCGUGCCAGCAGCCGCGGUAAUACGGAGGAUGCGAUCGUUAUCCGGAUUGAUUGGGUUUAAGGGGGGCGCAGGCGGUCUGUUAAGUCAGCGGUCAAAGCCCGGGGCUCAACCCCGGCCCGCCGUUGAAACUGGCAGUCUCGAGUUGGAGAGAAGUAUGCGGAAUGCGCGGUGUAGCGGUGAAAUGCAUAGAUAUCGCGCAGAACUCCGAUUGCGAAGGCAGCAUGCCGGCUCCACACUGACGCUGAGGCACGAAAGCGUGGGUAUCGAACAGGAUUAGAUACCUUGGUAGUC